UCUAAAUCGUUGAACUUGACCUAUUGGUCAUGUUAGGCUUUUCUGAGUAUUUUAAUACGAAAUUCUGAGGGAUAACAUGUCUUGCUAUGCAGUUAAUUGUGCUAACAGACCAUCCAAGGAUUCUGUGGUUCGUUUUUUUCGGUAGAACUUAAUGAGGUUGUAUUGACUUGGAACAACCACCGAGUCCGCCAGGUCCACAACUCACGAUCACCUCAUGGACGUCCCUCCAUAUUGCAUGCAGUCCCUCAACUGUACGGAGGCAGGGAUUGUUUGCACCAUGUGGACCUGGAGAAGGUUAAUGUAUGCCUUGAAGAGUGUGUGUUCAAGGACUUCCCAUGUGAUGAAGAUGUGUUCCAUAUCUGCGUGGACCUAAUGUCAGAGCAUAAUCUGAUACUAACAAAUGAUGUGUUUGAAACAGUUACCCUGUAUAUUGAACUCAGACAGCUGAUAUCCAAUGAACUAGACGUAGAUCCUUAACUUACCUGGGCCUGUCACAUUUUCUAUUUGUUUCAUUCCAGGACAAACUGAAACUUGUGCACUGACUGAAAUUUGUCAUAUAUUCACACAUAUUUUAACCUGUGAUUGAGACAAAUAUAAUUGUAGCUAUUUUAGAGACAUUAAAGAUGUACCAAAGAUGUUCAGUUCUGUCUAACAAAAUGUAUGUACACACAAAAGUACUGUGUUGUUUUUACAUUGACUAUAAAAAAAUGCAAAAUUC